CCUACGGGGGCAGGAGUGGGGAAGAAUGGGCAAGGGGCGGAAGCCCGACCCAGGAACGGCGGGUGAAGGAAGAAGGGUUUUGGGGUGUAAACUUCCUUUAAGAGGGAAGAGCAGAAGACGGUACCUCUUGAAUAAGCCACGGCUAACUACGUGCCAGCAGCCGCGGUAAUACGUAGGUGGCAAGCGUUGUCCGGAUUUACUGGGUGUAAAGGGCGUGCAGCCGGGAAGACAAGUCAGAUGUGAAAUCCCGCGGCUCAACCGCGGAACUGCAUUUGAAAAUGUUUUUCUUGAGUACCGGAGAGGUCAUCGGAAUUCCUUGUGUAGCGGUGAAAUGCGUAGAUAUAAGGAAGAACACCAGUGGCGAAGGCGGAUGACUGGACGGCAACUGACGGUGAGGCGCGAAAGCGUGGGGAGCAAACAGGAUUAGAUACCCGUGUAGUC
rnacentral:rRNA from 1 species